AGAGGAAGGUGUUGACAAGAAGACUUUUUUAAGUCUUGGAGAUUCAAACAGGCUUAAUGAGUUGAUUUCUAAAAUUGGACCAAGAGCUAAAUUCAAACAGAGACUUAAAGAAUACAUAAAGAGAGAAGGACUCAGUUUUGUCCAGGAUAAAUUAACAGAAUGGGAUCUCAGCGAGUUGAUUCAAACGUUUGUAGAACAUGGCAUCAACAAGGAAUCCUUCCUAUGUCUUGGAAAGUCAGACAGGAUGAACAUCUUGAUCCAAAAAAUUGGGCCAAGAGUAAAAUUUCGAAAGAGACUCAGAGACUAUUUACAGGAUCCAUCUCCUUUUCCACCACAUUUGGAGUCUACUUCAGGAUCUGACAGAGAUGACAGAGAUAAAGAUGUGGACCAGGAAAUGAAUGAGGAGCUGAUUUACCCCGGUGCAUCAGUAACUCGGGAACACGGCCUGCUUGCUACCAUUCUCUUCAUUCUGCGUCACCAGCUAACCUCCACAG